UACGGAGGGUGCAAGCGUUAUCCGGAUUCACUGGGUUUAAAGGGUGCGUAGGAGGGCAGGUAAGUCAGUGGUGAAAUCUCCAAGCUUAACUUGGAAACUGCCGUUGAUACUAUCUGUCUUGAAUACCGUGGAGGUGAGCGGAAUACGUCAUGUAGCGGUGAAAUGCUUAGAUAUGACAUAGAACACCAAUUGCGAAGGCAGCUCGCUACACGAAUAUUGACUCUGAGGCACGAAAGCGUGGGGAUCAAACAGG
rnacentral:rRNA from 1 species